UUAAAUUUUUUUUAAAAAUUAUUUAUUCGUCAUCAUUGACAUUGUCCCUCACAUUUCCAUGCAAGUCCGUGCAAGUCCAUGCAAGUAAUCGUGAUUACUCUUAUUACAAAUGAUUACGCUGACCCGUUCACCAGCAGAGGACGCCACUGGUGAUGUUGCACCUUCACCGAUAAUCCUAUUACCAGCCUAUUACCUACGCCACUCAUGCUAUUAUUAGAGUGGAUCGCUCUCCAGGUAUAAUACUUAAAUGUUAUUGUUCGUGUCUUGAUUAAUCUCUCGGUAGCUGAGCCGCAAUGAAACGGCUCCGCACUGGUUUUCCGGUACCAUUGCUGUUGCAUAGUACGGCAUUGCGUACGGGACUAAAAGGCACAGUGACAGAGGGUGUGCAUAAGUGUGCGUCCGCCUGUAAGAUCACUGAGUUGCAGUGGCGUUGACAACCACCUUAAUAAGCAAUAAAGCAAUUGCCGAGAUUUUGAAUGUUUUAGACGAAAAAGAAGAAGAAAUUCAAUUGAGGAACUAACUUCCCGCCUCGGUCUACGGAUAAAAAAGGGAACAUGGGCAUAGCCAACGGUCGAAGUUCCCGGUGGCACAAUUUACAUCUAAUUUUAUUUCUAUUUUUAUCUGAUUCGAUUUUUCUAUUUCAAUUAAACAGAGAAUUUCUCUUUGAACGCGAUUGACGUCAUCUAGGAGAGAAAUUCAAAAUGAUUGCUGACUGUUUCAAACAUUUCUGUAUUCUACUGAUGAUAUUGUGCUGUUGUUUCAUCAGGUUAUUUUCAUGGAUCAUAGACAUAACCAGUUCUCACUUGAAUAUUUCAAACUAAACACAUCUUCAACUGCCAACAUCAGCUUUAUUAUAGGCCAAAAACUGUGGAUUUGUGCAUUAAGUGAAGAAAUUGACUACCACUUAGUCUUAACCUUCUAGUUAUUUUAUUGCAUUGAUCAGCAAAGAUUAUCUCCCUCCUAGAACAUAGAAGGCGACAUGGAGGAAGCCAAAAUCAUAGGAAAUCAGCAACAAAGAGAAACAGCUGUCGUCCAGAGUCCAGACUUAAGACAUUUUCAACCAAGAGUCCCCCCAACCUACGAUCGACGAAUUAUCUCGAUAAUUGGAAAUAUGAUAUGGAAUUUAUAAGAAGAUAAUCAAGAUAUGCUGGUGAUUGUUAUCGAAUAAGUUUGACCUGACUCGUUGAGUUUGGGGUUUUCAUAAAAUAGUUUUUUUAAGGUUUUAACUUGCUCGCAGAAAAACGAAUUUGUUUAACUAUAUAUGAUCAGUGCAGUUUUGCCGAUGAUAUUUAAUAAGCAUUAGAUGUUCAUCGAAGUAGUUUAAUGGUGGUACUUAACGACGGAAUGUUAAGUGACUGGAACCUUCUCUGUAUUGACUCAAUUUGAUUUAUGUGCAGGAUUUGAAAAGCCAAAGAACUUAACGGGGCUGAUUUUCUAACGUGAAUUUGCCCGUGAGAAUGUGAGAUGGAUAAAGCUCCCCGGAGGUAUCAGACAUUAAAGGCAGCAAAUUUCGGCACACACAUUCUUAUGCCCAUUUGUGUAGAAUAUUAGGUGAAUGAAUGUCUGAACUUGUAGCGUGCCUAACCGUACGAUAUGAGUGGUACAUAGCAGAGGUUGCUGAAAUUUCUAAGAGUCCUGUCGUUUUCAUCCCUUUUCCGUUGGUCCAUACUCUUAUUUACUCCCCAUCAAUCACCCCGCAAUUUUCCCACGGGGAUUACUUUUUUGAGAGAUAUCUAUGUUCAUACGUACCAAUCGUACCAUCUCCCAUCAUAUGCCUGUGAUAUAGCAUUAUAGCUUCAUCGGCUUAUAGUAUUUCUUUAAUUAAUUUGUUUUCUAUCAGUUUUCUCUCAUCUCUGGUCGAUUCUGGAAAUAAUUGCGAAAAUACCGAAAUAAUUGCCACGGACAACAGAAAAGAAAGGGAGCACAGAUAUAAAAAUAUACUUCAGUGGAGAUAAGUUCUUAAACAAAUCACAAAACUUACACAGCGCACUUUCUAUUAGUAGCGUGUAAAAGGAAAUG